rnacentral:rRNA from 1 species
GAUUGAACGCUGGCGGCAGGCCUAACACAUGCAAGUCGAACGGUAACAGGAAUCAGCUUGCUGAUUUGCUGACGAGUGGCGGACGGGUGAGUAAUGUCUGGGAAACUGCCUGAUGGAGGGGGAUAACUACUGGAAACGGUAGCUAAUACCGCAUAAUGUCGCAAGACCAAAGAGGGGGACCUUCGGGCCUCUUGCCAUCGGAUGUGCCCAGAUGGGAUUAGCUAGUAGGUGGGGUAAAGGCUCACCUAGGCGACGAUCCCUAGCUGGUCUGAGAGGAUGACCAGCCACACUGGAACUGAGACACGGUCCAGACUCCUACGGGAGGCAGCAGUGGGGAAUAUUGCACAAUGGGCGCAAGCCUGAUGCAGCCAUGCCGCGUGUAUGAAGAAGGCCUUCGGGUUGUAAAGUACUUUCAGCGGGGAGGAAGGGAGUAAAGUUAAUACCUUUGCUCAUUGACGUUACCCGCACACGAAGCACCGGCUAACUCCCUGCCAGCAGCCACGGGAAUACGGAGGGCGCAAGCGUUCAUCGGAAUUACGGGGCGUAAAGGGCACGCCGGCGGCCCGUUAAGUCCGAUGUGAAAUCCCCGGGCUCAACCUGGGAACUGCAUCAGAUACUGGUGAGCUUGAGUCUCGUAGAGGGGGGUAGAAUUCCAGGUGUAGCGGUGAAAUGCGUAGAGAUCUGGAGGAAUACCGGUGGCGAAGGCGGCCCCCUGGACGAAGACUGACGCUCAGGUGCGAAAGCGUGGGGAGCAAACAGGAUUAGAUACCCUGGUAGUCCACGCCGUAAACGAUGUCGACUUGGAGGUUGUGCCCUUGAGGCGUGGCUUCCGGAGCUAACGCGUUAAGUCGACCGCCUGGGGAGUACGGCCGCAAGGUUAAAACUCAAAUGAAUUGACGGGGGCCCGCACAAGCGGUGGAGCAUGUGGUUUAAUUCGAUGCAACGCGAAGAACCUUACCUGGUCUUGACAUCCACGGAAGUUUUCAGAGAUGAGAAUGUGCCUUCGGGAACCGUGAGACAGGUGCUGCAUGGCUGUCGUCAGCUCGUGUUGUGAAAUGUUGGGUUAAGUCCCGCAACGAGCGCAACCCUUAUCCUUUGUUGCCAGCGGUCCGGCCGGGAACUCAAAGGAGACUGCCAGUGAUAAACUGGAGGAAGGUGGGGAUGACGUCAAGUCAUCAUGGCCCUUACGACCAGGGCUACACACGUGCUACAAUGGCGCAUACAAAGAGAAGCGACCUCGCGAGAGCAAGCGGACCUCAUAAAGUGCGUCGUAGUCCGGAUUGGAGUCUGCAACUCGACUCCAUGAAGUCGGAAUCGCUAGUAAUCGUGGAUCAGAAUGCCACGGUGAAUACGUUCCCGGGCCUUGUACACACCGCCCGUCACACCAUGGGAGUGGGUUGCAAAAGAAGUAGGUAGCUUAACCUUCGGGAGGGCGCUUACCACUUUGUGAUU